CGCUGCAAGUUGUUCCCCUCCUGCUCCUGCUCCUGCUCCUGAUCCUGACACAAUGCUGCAUGUAGUUGCUUUUGUUGCAUAGCUUGUGACAAGUUUUAUUUAAUUUUAAUUGCUUGUUGUAUAUUAAGUUAUAUUGUCAGCAAAAACGGUUCGCCUGUCAUGCGGUCCGGUCAGUUCUCACUUUUCCUCUCGCAACAAAUUGUAUUUUAGUUUUAUUCAAGUGGUAGAUGAGGGCUUUCAAUCAAAAUCCGUUUGAAGUACAUUUUGUCAGAGAACUCUCUUCAGAAUGUAACCAAGUAAUAUCUUUCCUAAUAUGCUUGCCCCUUCCCUAAUGGGGGUGGGCAAGAGUCUCUCUUUGGCAAUUAACCGGAAAUACUCGUAUUUCGAGUUCAAAAAGUCAACUUUUAUGGGGCUUUCGUUUUUGGCUUGGGUUUGGGUAGGAGAAAGCCCAGCGCCCCUCAUCUACUCACAUAUUUCUCUCGUGUCUGCUGUUUUCUCC
rnacentral:lncRNA from 1 species